AGCGAACGCUGGCGGCAGGCCUAACACAUGCAAGUCGAGCGCCGUAGCAAUACGGAGCGGCAGACGGGAGAGUAACACGUGGGAACGUACCCUUUGGUUCGGAACAACCCAGGGAAACUUGGGCUAAUACCGGAUAAGCCCUCACGGGGAAAGAUUCAUCGCCGAAGGAUCGGCCCGCGUCUGAUUAGCUAGUUGGUGGGGUAAUGGACCACCAAGGCGACGAUCAGUAGCUGGUCUGAGAGGAUGAUCAGCCUCACUGGGACUGAGACACGGCCCAGCCUCCUGCGGGAGGCAGCAGUGGGGAAUAUUGGACAAUGGGCGCAAGCCUGAUCCAGCCAUGCCGCGUGGGUGAUGAAGGCCCUAGGGUUGUAAAGCCCUUUCGGCGGGGAAGAUAAUGACGGUACCCGCAGAAGAAGCCCCGGCUAACUUCGUGCCAGCCGCCGCAGUAA
rnacentral:rRNA from 1 species